CGGACACCAGUAGUGGGCGGGCCUGCCUCAAUUGGAACCUCGGAAGCUGUGGGCUUCUUGGCUCACCCUGAAAAUUUGCCCACAACCGACGCAGGACGUCUUGGCCGACUUGAUGUGGGCUUCGGGACGGUGAGCAGCACCGUGAGAUAAAUGUCCACUUCUGCCCAUGAAAGAGCAACAAGGAUAAGAUUUUCCCCCCCUCUUGAAAGAGCUAAAGAACUGGACAAAAUAUAUGAAACAAUGGUCUGCAAGAUACUGGACAUCAGAGAACAAAAGAGUGAACCCUGAGAGACAAGAAAUAAAUGAGAAAAAAAAAAGAUGAGGUCAUAUUGGAGAAGCGUGGGCCCCUAGACCAAUACGGCUGUGUCCUUAUCACAAAAGGAGAUGGGCACCGGAAGGGAGAAUGCUACGUGACAAUGGAGGCAGAGAUGGAAGUGCUGCAGCUACAAGCCAAGGAAUGCCAGGGAUCCAUGGCCACCCCCAGAAACUAGGGAGAGGCAAGGAAGGAGUCUCCCCAACAGGUAUCAGAGGGCGGGGCGGGGCCCUGUUGACACCUUCAUGGCAGACCUCUAGCCUCCAGAAUUGUAGACAAUGCAGUUCUGUCGUUUUCAGCCCCCACUUUGGGUACUUUGUUAUGGCAGCCCCUGGUAACAACCACUCACUAGAAUGUGGGUAUAUUUCCUUACGAAUUACGUAGAUGUACUGUUACACUAAUGUAUUGUUUAGAAACUCAAAAAUAGAAUGUUUAAAGGAUGAGACAUAUUGAUUACACAAUAUUUUAAAGUCAUUUUUACUUUAUUAAUGGUAUAAAAAAAAUCUUAGCAAGCCAUGAAAAGACUUGGAGGAAACUUAAAUGCCUAUGACUAAGUGAAAAAAGCAAAUCUGAAAAGACUACGUACUAGAUGAUUCCAACUAUACGAUGGCUGGGAAAGGCAAAACUAUGGAGACGGUAAAAGGAGCAGUGGUCGCCAAGGGUUGGGGGUCAGGAAGCAGGAUGAAUAGGCAGAACAAAGAAGAUUUUUAGGGCAGUGAAAAUACUCUGUAUGAUAGUAUGAUGGAUACAUGUCAUUAUACAUUUGUCCAAAACCAUAGAAUGUACAACAGCAAGAGUGAAGUCGAGUUUUUAUGAACUUGGGUGAUUAUGAUGUGUCACUGUAGGUCCAUCAAUUAUAACAAAUGUACCACUCUGUGGGGGAUAUUGAUAAUGGAGGACACUAUGCAUAUGUAGGGACAGGGUGUAUGGGAAAUCUCUGUACCUUCCUCUCAAUUUUGCUGUGAACCUAAAACUGCUCUCAAAAAAAAUCUUUAAUUAUAAAAAAUUAUUUCAAAGAGCAGUAUUAUUAAAUAAGCUUCAUUAUUUUUUAAAAUCCUGGUAAAUAUCAUGAUACAGAAAUGCAGAUAUACUUCUAAGCUCAGUUAUUUUUCUAUAGAAAUUUUCUCUUAAUCACUGUCAUAGCUAAAAUAUAAAAUUAAAAAAUGAUGUGUAGUUUAAAAUGGAAGAAUUGCAUCAUUGGCUGAGCUUAACUCCCAUUAUGCAAAAAUUUUGUUGUAAUCUGGCUAUUAUUUCCCGCCUUCCCUAAUGUCAGUCAUUUAUUCUUGCAAACUAAUCAGAAAGUGUUAUAAUAAAUAAGUUUAAAACCCACUAAAACUCUUCACUGAGAAAUCUUAAAGCAGAUUAGGAAAUUGUUUCCCUGCUUUUUAAGUGUGAACUUAUAAGAGUUGUUACAUCAUUUUCAGCAGCAAAAUCACAUAACGAUGGAAUAAUUUCCAAUGACUAGUUUUCAAAAUGCCCUUUCAUAGCAUGAGUAUUUUUAGAAAAGCAGUUACAUUCUUACUCACUGAGAGAAAAAAUGCUGUUAUGUCCUCGAAGGGACAUAUUUUGUGUUGUUCUUUCAAUAUCUGUUAAAUAGCUUGCUACUGAAAGCCUGUUGUUAUAACAACAACAACAAAAAAAAGACACUCCAGCAUAUUGGACACCAAUCUUUUUGUAAAAGCAAAUGCAUAAACUAAUCUUAAAAAUGAACCAAAAAUGAGAGGAAUCACUCCAACUGACUUCCAGACUUAUAUAGCUACAGUGGUAUCGGCUGUGUGGUAUUGGUGGAGGGAUAGAUACGCUGAUCAACAGAACAAAAAGGAGAAUCCAGGAAUAGUCCCACACAACUACAGCCAACGGAUUUUUGUCAAAAGUGCAAAAGCAAUUCAAUGAAGGAAGAAUAGUCUUUUCAACAGAUUGCUCUGAAGUAUCUGUAUAUCCACAGGCAAAAAAAACAAACAAAAAGGACCUCAAUCUAAACCUCACGUCUUAUUCAAAAACUAACCAACUCAAAUAGAUCACAUAUUUAAAUGUAAAGUGUAAAACUCUAACUUUAAAAGAUAACAUGGGAGGGGCUGGCCCCGUGGCCGAGUGGUUAAGUUCGCGCGCUCCGCUGCAG